rnacentral:rRNA from 1 species
CAGCGCCACAAGUGGCAAUCGCGAUUAUUGGGCCUAAAGCGUCCGUAGCCGGUUUAGUAAAUCCUUUGUGAAAUCGUCAGGCUUAACUUGACGAAUGGCAGAGGACACUGCUAAACUUGGGACCGGGAGGAGUCAGAAGUAUUCCGGGGGGACCGGUAAAAUGGUAUAAUCCCCGGAGGACUACCGAUGGCGAAGGCAUCUGACCAGAACGGAUCCGACGGUGAGGGACGAAAGCUAGGGGAGCAAACCGGAUUAGAUACCCGAGUAGUCC